rnacentral:rRNA from 1 species
AUUGAACGCUGGCGGCAGGCCUAACACAUGCAAGUCGAGCGGAGCGGCGGACGGGUGAGUAAUGCAUAGGAAUCUGCCUGGUAGUGGGGGAUAACGUCCGGAAACGGGCGCUAAUACCGCAUACUAUCAGAUGAGCCUAGGUCGGAUUAGCUAGUUGGGGGGGUAAAGGCCUACCAAGGCGACGAUCCGUAACUGGUCUGAGAGGAUGAUCAGUCACACUGGAACUGAGACACGGUCCAGAAUCCUACGGGAGGCAGCAGUGGGGAAUAUUGCACAAUGGGCGCAAUCCGUAGGCAGCCAUGCCGCGUGUGUGUAGAAGGCCUUCGGGUUGUAAAGCACUUUCAGCGGGGAGGCGUUACCCGCAGAAGAAGCACCGGCUAACUCCGUGCCAGCAGCCGCGGUAAUAC